CAGGCCGGAGCGCGGAGCCGCGGAGAGGGCGGAGAGCCGAGGGGGCGGUGGGGCCCGGGCGCGGCGGGUCCCCUCGCCGCCCACUGUGCGCCGGAACCCUGGGCCCGGCGAGUGGCGGGCGGCACCCCAGUGUAAUGCAGAGAAUGUGAGGGCAGCGCAGGCCGGUGGAGAGGAGGCGGCGGCGCGGGAGAGGGCGUCGGCAAGAUAGACGGAGAGGCAGCCGGAGAGACGGAGGACCGGGAUCCGGGCGGGUGCAGAGUCGAGCCCUGCGUAGCGGGAACCCGAGCCGGAGCGGGAACCAGAGAGGAGCCCAGCGGGGGAAUGCGGCCCCGGAGCGGAGCUGCGCGCCGACUGCGCGCCCGGGACGGUGAGUGUGGCUGGGCAGGAGGGAUGCUGUGGCGGGGCUGGGGCCGCGGGGGCGCAGGCCGGGAAGCUG
ensembl:lncRNA